rnacentral:sRNA from 1 species
GAUAUGGAAGAUUCGAACCUGCCGCAGGUUCGGGUCGAACGCAGUGAGACAACGGAGCCGUUUACGGCGACGGCCCGAAGGGCGAGCGAAGCGAGUCAUCCUGCACGACCCACCA